rnacentral:rRNA from 1 species
UACGUAGGGUGCGAGCGUUGCCCGGAUUUAUUGGGCGUAAAGGGCGCGUAGGCGGCCGAAUAAGUCUGACGUGAAAUCCCCCGGCCCAACCGGGGAACUGCGUUUGAUACUGUUUGGCUCGAGUCCGGGAGAGGGUAGUGGAAUUCCCAGUGUAGCGGUGAAAUGCGUAGAUAUUGGGAGGAACACCGGUGGCGAAGGCGGCUACCUGGACCGGUACUGACGCUGAGGCGCGAAAGCUAGGGUAGCAAACAGG